GUAUUAGUAUGGUGGAGGAACUUACUAUUUAAGAGCCUAUCUCGAAUGAAGCCAGUUUCCGUACCAGGGGGAGGAGCUUAGUGCCUAAGGCAAAAUUCUAAACAGCCAAUUGCAGGGCUCGUCGCCGUUUCUUUGCUGCCCCCUAUGAACCAAAAUACUAAUUUCUUUUAAAAUUCGAAAUUUCGGUUAACGUUUGUUCGAAGACGGCCAUUUUAUGUUGAAAUGUACACUACUCUUCCCACAGAGUGUACGAAGAGUUCACAACCUAUAACUGAAUCGCUUUGCACAAAUGCUCUCUCAGAUUCUGGUUUCAGGCAAGUGAAGACCUUUGACGUCUUGCUGAUGGAUUCUACUCCUGUGCCUAUCACUACUGCCCUCCCUGUUAUUUUAACACACUUUACAGUGAUUUCAUCUGUUGUUAUAAUUCAUUUCCUUAAAUUAGAUCCUGGGUCCAGCCAAGUGACGACUCUUUGGCCUUUGAUGACUCCCUUUUGGAUUCUGCUCUUGUGCCUAUCACUACUGCUCUCCAUGAUCCUGGGUCAAGCCAAGUGAUGUUUGAAGACGAUUUUCCGAUCGAUUCUUCCCUUGACCCUGAUGAUCUCAUAGAUACUGCAUCCGGCCAAGAGCCGCUCGGUGCAUGGACUACUUUAUAUUAAGGACUGGACUCAGUCCAAUCUCGCCGUGUUAAUGCCUGUCCGGUAGGCUUUUUUACAGCAAAAUAAUUAAAAAAUACCAUUAUAUUGAGUUUUUAAAGACGAAUUCAGCUACAUUGUAAUUUUUAAUGUAAACUUAGGGGGAAAAAAGAUAUUAACGUUUAUUUUAUCGGAGUAGGGGAAGAAAGUCGACUUGACUCAUACGCCAUCUACCCGCCAAACGGCCUAAGUUUUUACUUAGUGUUGUGAGUGUGUUUGAAGGCUGGAAGUGAAGUUAAAUAUUGUAAACAAAGUGACUUAGACAUUCGCAAUUCCGUGUUUUUUUAAAUUAUAUGUUUCCAUUGGUCAUCAUUGUAUUGAUAUAUAAAUGUUGGUGGACGUGUAUUGGCAUUUGCUGCGAGAAGUGUCGAUUCGUGAAACUGAAAGCUGAAGAAUUACGGAAGUUUCUUUAUGUGCUGCAAUUGUGUAUGUAAUUCCAAACACACCUACGGUUAUUUAAAGGUAACCUAUUAGGUGACUGCAGUUGUAUUCCUUGACAGGAAUAUUCAAGAUCCGACAAUGGUAAUGCCAUAUUACCCCACGCAGGUGAACAAAGGAACAUUGUCAACCUCAUAGUGGGUUAGAGAUAAACA